GGAGGAGGGAAGAGAAAGUAGUAACAGCUUGCUUCUGUGGGUGGCUAACUACUGUCCAUUCUGAAUGGCCAGAUCUGCUCUUGCCAAGGGCGCUACACACACACACACACACACACACACACACAUGGAUUAAGACAUGCUGUGUAAGAGUAAAAAACAAACAUAAGCUGUCAAGAUUGCAUUUUUUGUGAGUUUUAAAUCAUUAGCUUCUGCACUUUUAAACUUUUUUUUCAGACAUUCUUUUUUUCUUACUUGUCCACCAUUACUUCCUUUUAUUCCCUUUCUUGUUGUCACAUUUACACCUCUUAGUUCUCUGUUUCUAGCUCUCUAGCCCCCCCCCCCCCCCCCCCCCCCAAUAGCCAGCAGCAGUAAAUGGGAUGCAGAGGCCAGAUAUUUAAUGUAGCAAAGAGCCAUGAAGCGUUUUAAGAAGCCUUUUCCUAACAGGGGGAGCCCUGACCUGCAGGCAAAUAUUUUUCAACCAGAUGACAUAAGAAGAUAUUAGUGGAAAGAGACCGAUAUAUUUAUUUCUUUUUUUUCUUCUCUCUUUCUGUGAUUUCCUCUUGUGCUUUUCUAUUUGGGCUGCUGCCUGGUCAUUCAGCCCACUGCACAUAUGUUUUAUUUUACUUGCUUUUCUUUUGGAGUUCAUUUAUUUUAUUUUAUCUUUGAUUCAUUAUUAUGAUACGAUAAAAGCUACUUGAGCAUUUCAGCUGCCGAGGGGCUCUUAUCGUUAACCUUGUGGAACGCAUGUAAGAGUGAGUUCCACACGUCGCAUCGCUAAUGGCCAACUUAACUCCUUUCUUCUCCUCCUCCACCUUCUGGCUUCAUCUAUAUCUUUCCUGCCAUCUCUGUCCUUUUGAAAGUGCUGUUCAUCUCUUCAUCAUGCUUCUUCACUACCUCCUCUUUUCCCUCAUAAACUCCUGCUGUAUUUGCUUUAAACUCUUUUUUUUCCCUAUUUUCUCAGUUUAGUAUUCACAUUGGCUACUUUCUUUUUCUGUGCAUGAAAAUAAAACUCAGCAUUGGUCUGUUUUACUCUGCUCAGCAUAACUGACUAAUAAAUGACACAGGUUUUUUGAGACUGUUGAACUUAAGCUAAAAGGGGGC
ensembl:lncRNA